CCCUCCUUAGCUCAGUGGAUUAGAGCAAACGGCUUCUACCCGUUCGGUCGCUGGUUCGAAUCCAGCAGGGGGGA
rnacentral:tRNA from 1 species